rnacentral:rRNA from 1 species
UCGAACGCGAAAGCCCUUCGGGGGGCUAGUAGAGUGGCGCACGGGUGAGUAACACGUAGGUAAUCUACCUUCGGGUGGGGAAUAACAACCGAAACGGUUGCUAAUACCGCAUAAUGCAGCGGCACCUAAUGGUGACAGUUGUUAAAGCGGGGGAUCGCAAGAUCUCGCGCCUGAAGAGGAGCCUGCGGCGGAUUAGCUAGUUGGUAGGGUAACGGGCUACCAAGGGUACGAUCCGUAGGCGGCCUGAGAGGGCGGUCGGGCACACUGACACUGACAUACGGGUCAGACUCCUACGGGAGGGAGAAGUCGGGAAUUUUGGGCAAUGGGCGAAAUUCUGACCCACCAACGCCGCGUGAAGGAUGAAAUCCCUCGGGAUGUAAACUUCCCAAGAGCGGGAAGAAUAAGUAGGGGAUAAUACCCCCUAUGAUGGCGGUACCGUUUGUAAGCUCCGGCUAACUCCGUCCCAGCACCCGCGGUAAUACGGGGGGACCAAGCGUUGUUCGGAUUUACUGGGCGUAAAGGGCGCGUAGGCGCCCACCCCAAGUCAGUUGUGAAAUCCUCCGAGCUUAACUCGGAAAGGUCAACUGAUACUGCGGGGCUAGAGUGCGGAAGGGCCAACUGGAAUUCUUGGUGUAGCGGUGAAAUGCGUAGAUAUCAAGAGGAACACCUGCGCCGAAGCGGUUUCUGGCCGACACUGACGCUGAGCAAGAACUAGGACGACGG